rnacentral:Y_RNA from 1 species
GGCUGGUAUGAUGGUAGUGAGUUAUCAGAACUUAUUAACAUUGGUGUCACUAAAGUUGGUAUACAACUCCCCACUGCCAAAUUUUACUGGCUUUAA